GUGUCAGCAGCCGCGGUAAUACGUAGGGGGCGAGCGUUGUCCGGAAUCAUUGGGCGUAAAGAGCGUGUAGGUGGCUUGGAAAGUCUUACGUGAAAGCCUGCGGCUCAACCGCAGAAGUGCGUGGGAAACUUCCUCGCUAGAGUCCGGAAGAGGAGAGCGGAAUUCCUGGUGUAGCGGUGGAAUGCGCAGAUAUCAGGAGGAACACCCGUGGCGAAGGCGGCUCUCUGGGACGGUACUGACACUGAGACGCGAAAGCGUGGGGAGCGAACAGGAUUAGAUACCCCUGUAGUCC
rnacentral:rRNA from 1 species